rnacentral:lncRNA from 1 species
GCCCCAAACAGCCCCAAUUUGCCCCAAAUCAGUCCCAAUCCACCCCAAACCACCCCAGUUCACCCCGAAUUAGACCCAAUCCGCCCCAAAAUUGCCCCAAAUCACCCCAAACCACCCCAAAUCACCCCAGUUCGCCCUGAAUUAGUCCCAAUCCGCCCCAAAAGUGCCCUAAACCACCCCAAAAUUGCCCCAAACUGCCCCAAUUUGCCCCAAAUCAGUCCCAAUCCACCCCAAAUCACCCCAGUUCGCCCUGAAUUAGUCCCAAUCCGCCCCAAAAUUGCCCCAAACCACCCCAAUUUGCCCCAAACCGGGGGGGGGGGGCAAUGGGGUGGUGACG